GGAAGAAAAAACAAGGGGGCGUAUUCAGUGUAAGAUGACAAACUCCGGAGCGGACAUAGCCACUAUUCUAAAAGAGCAAGAUAUAGGGCUGACGGUGGGAGUGUCACUGUUUCUCCUUGUUAGCUAUCUGUUCAUGGCCUACUUCAUUUACCGACCGUGGAAAGGCAGAGCCAGGCCCCCGCCAACUCCCCGAGAUCCGCCGCUGUGACUGUUGAAGCUCAUCACAAACUCUAUAUACACCGUACAUAACUUUCAUUUCAUUAGAGACUUCACACCUUAAUGUGAUUUCAUUUUUCGUUGAUUUUUGUGUUGUUUUGGUUGUUUUUGAUAAAUCCAUGAAACUGGAUACAGAAUCACUGUAUUUAUGUUUCCUUGAAAGGUUUGUUGGCUGUGAAAACUAGAUUUCCUUACGACCAUGUAGGGAUAUAAGAUAAAUAUAUAUGAUGCAUUAUUGACAUGUCCAUCUAUUUUUCCAGUGAUUAUGAUGAGAUGUAUACAUAUACCACAUGUUAUUUGUAUAUACUAUGUAUAUAUAUGUAAUUAAACAAAAUUAAAGUAUAUGUGAUGAUAAAA